rnacentral:rRNA from 1 species
GUAACGAUAAAGCGGGUGAAAAGCCCGCUCGCCGGAAGACCAAGGGUUCCUGUCCAACGUUAAUCGGGGCAGGGUGAGUCGACCCCUAAGGCGAGGCCGAAAGGCGUAGUCGAUGGGAAACAGGUUAAUAUUCCUGUACUUGGUGUUACUGCGAAGGGGGGACGGAGAAGGCUAUGUUGGCCGGGCGACGGUUGUCCCGGUUUAAGCGUGUAGGCUGGUUUUCCAGGCAAAUCCGGAAAAUCAAGGCUGAGGCGUGAUGACGAGGCACUACGGUGCUGAAGCAACAAAUGCCCUGCUUCCAGGAAAAGCCUCUAAGCAUCAGGUAACAUCAAAUCGUACCCCAAACCGACACAGGUGGUCAGGUAGAGAAUACCAAGGCGCUUGAGAGAACUCGGGUGAAGGAACUAGGCAAAAUGGUGCCGUAACUUCGGGAGAA